GAUGAACGCUGGCGGCGUGCCUAAUACAUGCAAGUCGAGCGAAUGGAUUAAGAGCUUGCUCUUAUGAAGUUAGCGGCGGACGGGUGAGUAACACGUGGGUAACCUGCCCAUAAGACUGGGAUAACUCCGGGAAACCGGGGCUAAUACCGGAUAACAUUUUGAACCGCAUGGUUCGAAAUUGAAAGGCGGCUUCGGCUGUCACUUAUGGAUGGACCCGCGUCGCAUUAGCUAGUUGGUGAGGUAACGGCUCACCAAGGCAACGAUGCGUAGCCGACCUGGAGGGGUGAGCGGCCACACUGGGACUGAGACACGGACCAGACUCCUACGGGAGGCAGCAGUAGGGAAGCUUCCGCAAUGGACGAAAGUCUGACGGAGCAACGCCGCGUGAGUGAUGAAGGCUUUCGGGUCGUAAAACUCUGUUGUUAGGGAAGAACAAGUGCUAGUUGAAUAAGCUGGCACCUUGACGGUACCUAACCAGAAAGCCACGGCUAACUACGUGCCAGCAGCCGCGGUAA
rnacentral:rRNA from 1 species